rnacentral:rRNA from 1 species
UACGUAGGGUCCGAGCGUUAAUCGGAAUUACUGGGCGUAAAGCGUGCGCAGGCGGUUUUGUAAGCCAGAUGGGAAAUCCCCGGGCUUAACCUGGGAAUGGCAUUUGGGACUGCAAGGCUGGAGUACGGCAGAGGGAGGUGGAAUUCCAGGUGUAGCAGUGAAAUGCGUAGAGAUCUGGAGGAACACCGAUGGCGAAGGCAGCCUCCUGGGCUAGUACUGACGCUCAUGCACGAAAGCGUGGGGAGCAAACAGG